UCAUCAUCCGCUCAUCCGGGUCUCUAGGGGGCGCUAGAGAGACUUGCCCGCUAACAUCAGCGCUUGAACGGCGCGCGUCAGGACGUUCAGUAAAACGUGGACUGGAUAAGAAUCUGCGGAGUGAGAUUAAAAUAAAUUUCCCUUACUGACAAGCUAAACAGAGUCGUCUGCGCAGACGCAGAAGGAUCAGGAGACGGCUCUGACGGAGGAAGAGCGCAGACAACAGCAGGAACUACUGCAGUCUUUAGCGGAGUGUGUCCUUCACGUGUCCAGGCGCAGGCUCACGUCUGGAGGACACACUGACCUCCAUCUGUCUGCACACACAACACCUCACAGGAUCCCUCUCUGCUGCCACCAGAAACUCACAGAGUCAAUCUGCAGAACACACUCGUGUCAUCAUCAGUCGAUACAUCACAUCAUCACACCACAGUCAGCAAGAACCGAGCCUUUCCCAAGCUUUCAGUCGAGUGCUUCACUGAAGUGCCUGAAACAGCACACGCUAGUGACACCUGCUGGUCAAACUCUGUAAAUGCAACAAAACUUCUGCAAAAACAGGCAUAAAAACACCUUUUACAACCCCAAGGCAAAUACAUUCUUCAAAGUAUAAUAUAUUAAAUGGACUUUAAAUAUUAAAAUACCAUUGCAUAUGAAGUGUCUGUAUAUAUGUGAUUUAAAUUUUUUUUAUUAAUUUGCAGGGCUUGUUUAGUUUGUUUUAUGGAGAGCUUGUCUGAACAGUCAGUAAGAGACUAUUAACUACUACUCAUCCUGUUAAUUACACAACAUUAGAAAUAUCUUCAAACUGAUUUCCCAAAGUUUUGAAGCUUCACAUCAGGCUGAUCUUAAAGCUGAUUGGCUGUAAUGUUCCAUCAGCUGACAGGAAGACGUUUUCUCCGUCCAGUGAAGAGAAAUGGAGUCCAGUGCCAAAGAUCUGUCGAGUUUCAAAGAUGAACUGCACUUUUAUAUUAUUGUCUUUAAACAUUUUGCCAGUUAUUUAAUCAAGUUUUAUAUGUUUUUCUUGACAUCUCUGUACAUCUUACGGCUUCAGCAGCGCUUUUCUUGCUGGUUUUGUCUUUGCACACUUGAAUAAAUUGUGAAAAUUGUUGUAAUUUGUCAUUUAAAACUAGAUUUCAAUUGAUAAUACAAAAUCAUAUUUUCAGAAACAAUGUCAGAGGUCAAUUCUGGGUUCAUUUAUACAUGAAUCUGUCAGUUAUGAGGGAAAAAAAUAUGCAAUAUACUAUACAUGUAAUUUUUUUUCUCUGAAUUGCAAGAAAAAGUAAUAACUGAGGGGGGGAAAAAAGCUCAAACUGUGGGAUAAAAAAUGAGUUUUAG
ensembl:lncRNA